AUUGAACGCUGGCGGCAGGCCUAACACAUGCAAGUCGAGCGGAUGAAGGGAGCUUGCUCCUGGAUUCAGCGGCGGACGGGUGAGUAAUGCCUAGGAAUCUGCCUGGUAGUGGGGGAUAACGUCCGGAAACGGGCGCUAAUACCGCAUACGUCCUGAGGGAGAAAGUGGGGGAUCUUCGGACCUCACGCUAUCAGAUGAGCCUAGGUCGGAUUAGCUAGUUGGUGGGGUAAAGGCCUACCAAGGCGACGAUCCGUAACUGGUCUGAGAGGAUGAUCAGUCACGCGGGAACUGAGACACGGUCCAGACUCCUACGGGAGGCAGGAGUGGGGAAUAUUGGACAAGGGGCGAAAGUCUGAUCCAGCCAUGCCGCGUGUGUGAAGAAGGUCUUCGGAUUGUAAAGCACUUUAAGGUGGGAGGAAGGGCAGUAAGUUAAUACCUUGCUGUUUUGACGUUACCAACAGAAUAAGCACCGGCUAACUUCG
rnacentral:rRNA from 1 species